rnacentral:tRNA from 1 species
UCUUCGGUGGUAUAGUGGUCAGCAUCCCCGCCUGUCACGCGGGAGACCGGGGUUCGAUUCCCCGCCGGAGAG